CCCCGAUUGGUUCCGAUUGGCCCUGAAUGGCUCCGAUCGUCUCCGAUUGGCCCCGAUUAUCCCCGAAUGUUUCCGAAUGACCCCGAAUGUUUCCGAAUGUCCCCGAUUGUCUCCGAUCGUCUCCGAUUGGCCCCGAUUAUCCCCGAAUGGCCCCGACUGUCCCCGAUUGGCCCCGAUUAUCCCCGAAUGACCCCGAUUGGCCCCGAAUGGCCCCGAUUGGCCCCGAUUGGUUCCGAAUGUCCCCGAAUGACCCCGAAUGUUUCCGACUGUCCCCGAAUGACCCCGAUUGGCCCCGAUUGUUUCCGAUUGUUGCCGAUUGACGCCCCCAACUCAGGGACCCCCCGGGAAGGACGGAGUGCCGGGACACCCCGGGCAGCGCGGAGACGGGGGUUUCCAAGGCAAAACGGGACCCCCCGGCCCCCCUGGAGUUGUAGGGCCACAGGGUCCAUCGGGUGAGUCCGGCCCUAUGGGGGAACGGGGUCAUCCCGGCCCCCCCGGCCCCCCCGGGGAACAAGGACUGACCGGAGCCACAGGAAAAGAGGGAACCAAGGUGAGGGGGGGGGGACCCUAUAGGGAUUAAUGGGGGACCCUAUAGGGAUUAAUGGGGGACCCUAUAAGGAUUAAUGGGGGACCCUAUAACACUUAUGGGGU
rnacentral:lncRNA from 1 species